AUUGAACGCUGGCGGCAUGCCUUACACAUGCAAGUCGAACGGUAACAGCUCUUCGGAGGCUGACGAGUGGCGAACGGGUGAGUAAUACAUCGGAACGUGCCCGAUCGUGGGGGAUAACGGAGCGAAAGCUUUGCUAAUACCGCAUACGAUCUACGGAUGAAAGCAGGGGACCCUCGGGCCUUGCGCGAACGGAGCGGCCGAUGGCAGAUUGGGUAGUUGGUGGGAUAAAAGCUUACCAAGCCGACGAUCUGUAGCUGGUCUGAGAGGACGACCAGCCACACUGGGACUGAGACACGGCCCAGACUCCUACGGGAGGCAGCAGUGGGGAAUUUUGGACAAUGGGCGAAAGCCUGAUCCAGCAAUGCCGCGUGCAGGAUGAAGGCCUUCGGGUUGUAAACUGCUUUUGUACGGAACGAAAAAUCUCGGGCUAAUACCCUGGGACCAUGACGGUACCGUAAGAAUAAGCACCGGCUAACUACGUGCCAGCCGCCGCGGUAA
rnacentral:rRNA from 1 species